rnacentral:lncRNA from 1 species
CUUUGGUGGCGGUCUGGUUGGUGACUAAGAGUUAAUGCUUCCUCUUUAGACCAUCAGGAGCAGUUUCCAAGGAGACUACCUCCUUGUGGGCUGAAUCUUCAGCAGGUGCAUAUUAGCUCAUUUCCAGCGAAGUCUGCAGGCAGAAAGACAACUUUUCACAGACCUGUCUUACCACCUACUUCCUGUUUUAUUCUUUCAUGGAUGCAACUUUCCCUGCAGGAAGAAGCAGCUGAAUCUGGAAGCAGCAUUUGUGCAGCUCAUAGCAAUAUGAUACAAAUCUAGCCACCUCGCAGCCUGAUGAGAUGGAAAUGGACAUUUCAAGCCACGGUUGCUCUCAGGGUAUCCAUGGGUACUGUGGAAUUGGGAGCACUAAAACUACAGUCCAGCUUAGUUGGAGAAUAACAAUCUGCAUUUGAUUGUGCCAAACACCCAUGGUAAGCCAUUGCAAACAUUUCCCACCAUUAUCACUUGUAUUUUUCUAGUGUUGGGAGUAAGGUAUUUGUCUGUAUUGG